rnacentral:rRNA from 1 species
GAUGAACGCUGGCGGCGUGCCUAAGACAUGCAAGUCGAGCGAACAGACGAGGAGCUUGCUCCUCUGACGUUAGCUGCGUACGGGGUAGUAACACGUGGAUAACCUACCUGUAAGACUGGGAUAACUUCGGGAAACCGGAGCUAAUACCGUAUAAUAUAUGGAACCGCAUGGUUCAAUAUUGAAAGACUGUUUUGCUGUCACUUAUAGAUGGAUCCGCGCCGCAUUAGCUAGUUGGUAAGGUAACGGCUUACCAAGGCAACGAUGCGUAGCCGACCUGAGAGGGUGAUCGGCCAAACUGGAACUGAGACACGGUCCAGACUCCUACGGGAGGCAGCAGUAGGGAAGCUUCCGCAAUGGGCGAAAGCCUGACGGAGCAACGCCGCGUGAGUGAUGAAGGUCUUCGGAUCGUAAAACUCUGUUAUUAGGGAAGAACAAAUGUGUAAGUAACUAUGAACGUCUUGACGGUACCUAAGCAGAAAACCACGGCUAACUACGU